rnacentral:rRNA from 1 species
CCUUCGGGUUGUAAAGCACUUUUGUCCGGAAAGAAAUCCUUGGCUCUAAUACNGUCGGGGGAUGACGGUACCGGAAGAAUAAGCACCGGCUAACUACGUGCCAGCAGCCGCGGUAAUACGUAGGGUGCAAGCGUUAAUCGGAAUUACUGGGCGUAAAGCGUGCGCAGGCGGUUUGCUAAGACCGAUGUGAAAUCCCCGGGCUCAACCUGGGAACUGCAUUGGUGACUGGCAGGCUAGAGUAUGGCAGAGGGGGGUAGAAUUCCACGUGUAGCAGUGAAAUGCGUAGAGAUGUGGAGGAAUACCGAUGGCGAAGGCAGCCCCCUGGGNCAAUACUGACGCUCAUGCACGAAAGCGUGGGGAGCAAACAGGAUUAGAUACCCUGGUAGUCCACGCCCUAAACGAUGUCAACUAGUUGUUGGGGAUUCAUUUCCUUAGUAACGUAGCUAACGCGUGAAGUUGACCGCCUGGGGAGUACGGUCGC